UCCUUUGUAGCUCAGUCGGUAGAGCGGGUGGCUGUUAACCACUAGGUCGGGGGUUCGAGUCCCUCCGGAGGAG
rfam:Spirochaetes bacterium GWB1_27_13 gwb1_scaffold_15638, whole genome shotgun sequence.